CUUAACAUCUACUCUUUGAGCGGAUUUCAGAGAAUUCACAAUGGCAGAAAUUGAGCACUUUGUAGAUCCCAGUGAGAAAGACCACCCCAAGUUCCAGAAUGUGGCAGACCUUCACCUUUAUUUGUAUUCAGCAAAAGCCCAGGUCAGCGGACAGUCCGCUCGGAAAAUGCGCCUGGGAGAUGCUGUUGAACAGGGUGUGAUUAAUAACACAGUAUUAGGCUAUUUCAUUGGCCGCAUCUACCUCUACCUCACGAAGGUUGGAAUAUCUCCAGAUAAACUCCGCUUCCGGCAGCACAUGGAGAAUGAGAUGGCCCAUUAUGCCUGUGACUGUUGGGAUGCAGAAUCCAAAACAUCCUACGGUUGGAUUGAGAUUGUUGGAUGUGCUGAUCGUUCCUGUUAUGACCUCUCCUGUCAUGCACGAGCCACCAAAGUCCCACUUGUAGCUGAGAAACCUCUGAAAGAACCCAUAUCCUUUCUGGUCACUCCAAAAACUCAGGAUUCACAUGUGAACAUCUUGCUAAUGAAUAAGUCCAAGUCUUUACCUUGUUCUAUGGAUAAAUGGAGAUGUUUUAGACACUGUAGUAAUGCUUGUUUAAAAGUAUUAUUUUACCUAUCCCUUUGUUCCUUUCCUGUUCUCUGUACUU
rnacentral:sRNA from 1 species